UAACCUAAUGUGUACUUUGGGCAGGUGA
rnacentral:piRNA from 1 species